GACGAACGCUGGCGGCGUGCUUAAUACAUGCAAGUCGAACGGAAAGGCGCUGCGUUUGCGGGGUGCUCGAGUGGCGAACGGGGGAGUAUAACGUGAGUAUCCUGCCCUUGACUUUGGGAGAACUUCAGGAAACUGGGGCUAAUACCGGAUAGGAGCUCCUGCUGCAUGGUGGGGGUUGGAAAGUUUCGGCGGUUGGGGAUGGACUCGCGGCUUAGCAGCUUGUUGGUUGGUUAGUGGCUUACCAAGGCUUCGACGGGAAGCCGGCCUGGGAGGGUGACCGGCCCCAAUGGGACCGAGAUGCGGCCCAGACGCCUACGGGAGGAAGGGGGCGAGAAUAUUGCACAAUGGGCGGGAGCCUGAUGCAGCAACUCCGCGUGCGGAAUGACGGCCUUCGGGUUGUAAACCUCUUUCGCCUGUGACGAAGCGUGAGUGACGGUAAUGGGUAAAGAAGCACCGGCUAACUACGU
rnacentral:rRNA from 1 species